rnacentral:tRNA from 1 species
AUAGCUUUAGUUUAAACGGAAAAAACAAAGAUUUUCUAAAUCUCAAAUAAUGGUUCGAUUCCAUUAAGUUAAU